UACGUAGGGCGCAAGCGUUAUCCGGAAUUAUUGGGCGUAAAGGGCGCGUAGGCGGCUUGGCAAGUGGGAGGUGAAAUCCCUCGGCUUAACCGAGGAACUGCCUCCCAAACUGCUUGGCUUGAGACCAGGAGAGGUGAGUGGAAUUCCCAGUGUAGCGGUGAAAUGCGUAGAUAUCGGGAGGAAUACCAGUGGCGAAGGCGGCGACCUGGGCCAAUACUGACGCUGAGGUGCGAAAGCGUGGGGAGCAAACAGG
rnacentral:rRNA from 1 species